UGACCCUUGGGGAACUGGUAGCCCAGAGCUGUGGGUUUGGGUUUCUUCUGGUAAUGAAUGUCAUGUCCAGUCCAGGGGUGACUGGUAUUCUCUAGGACUUUCCAGUUUCUAGAGAGUUCCAACAUAGUAAUAGGCAGCAUGGCUGCCACGGGCUGGAAGUCAAAGAGGCUUCAACAGCAUCCAGUUAGCUCUCCUCGGGCUAGGGACCAACCCUGGCUUGAACUUGUUUAACUUUGAAAGAAAGGAUUUGUGGCCAGAAUACAGCUCAGCUUUGGUUUUCCUGUCUGGUUGACAGGAAAUACUGCUGUUCCUAGACCAAGGGAGGGAGAGGAGUCAAAUCAGUUCUUUGAUUUGUCACUCUUUGGAGUGGUGGAGCCGGGGCUCCUGUCCCAAUUUGGAUGUCAGAUCUGUAGCAUCUCCUGUUAGUUAAUGGGAGUUGACAGGUUGUGGAUUGUGUUUCUUUAAGAGGCAUUUUUACAAUGUUGUGUACAGCAAAGUGACUCACUUAUAUAUAUAUUCUUAUUCAUAUUUAUAAGAGGUGUUUUGUAACGUGACAAGCCAACUCCCAAAACCAUGAUCUCAAUAAGGAAAACAAGGAUGCGGGGAGAGAGCAGAAUCCUGUUUAUUAAUGGCGUUCCUUUUCAAGACAAAGAGACAUGAAUAAGGGAGAAAAAAUAGGGAAUGAGCAGUCUGGUGUUUUCUUCAGCCCUCAAAGUGAAUGUGCUUUCUUCCCUUUUAUUGCCUUUUACUACAUCCCUUUGUAUAUCCAGACUUUUAAUUAUAGAUUCCAUAUUACACAGAAUGGGCUUGGUCAGGGUGGGCAUUAGAACCAGGCUGCAGGUGCAGCCAUGUUGGUGAAGCGAACAGUCUAGCCAUCCUGGAAGAGGUGACGUUCCCGAGAUCCAGUCCCCGGCUCCAGGAUAUUGGCUGGAAAAGGAGUUGAGUUUUAGGCUUCUCGAAAUUCCCAUAAACCAGUUGGAAGAAAACAGCUGGAACAGGAUAGCAGGUUCACCUGGGAAAAUCCAAACCUGGCUGAUGUGCUGACAAGCAGUGGAGAGGAGGAGGUGCUGCUGGGAGCAGCUGCCUGAAAAGGAGAACCAGGUAAGAGCCCCUGGGCUGGAGGUUGUGCUCACUGAAGGGAAACCGGUGAAAUCCGUGGCUAAGUUCCUUCCGGUGUACGUAUCUAGGAAGCCAGUGUAUGUCCCCCAGGUCACCAAAGUGACCACGGUUCACUUCCAGGUUACUCUGUGGUUGGUUCUCAAGGCACUGCACUCUGGACAGCCCAGCACAAAGCCAGAGAAACUGCCGAGGACUUGGUCCUGUGAGAAGCCACCUCUUUCUCUUGCCAUGGGGAGAGCUUGAUAUUUUCCUCCCUUACAAUUUUGCCCAAGGGCAAGGGUAUUAAUGGCCCAGUUUUUAAAAUUCUUAAUAUGCUAAUCCCAUCUGUAGAGUAGCUACCACUUCAGCAAAGAAUUGCCUAAAGCUCACAAAGCUAUAAACUCAGAAAGACUUAAAAACUAGAGCAGAUGAUAGCCCUGAGCUAGGACUGAAGACAGCUGAAUUCCAUCUCUAAUAUUAGAGUUGCAGUGUAUUAACUCUUGGGCUCUGAAGUCUGGUUGCCUGAGUUCAAAAUCCUGGCUCUUGUUCGUCACUGGUAAUUUUGGGCAAGUUACUUCUCUUAGCCUCAAUGUCCUCAUAUAUAAAACGGAGAUAAUAAUAGCUUUAACCUCACAAUAUGGUUGUGAGAACCAGAGGAAAUAAUUUAUAAUGCACUUGAUCUCAGGACCAAGGGAGACUCAGGUGCCAGCAGCCCUUAUCUACACAGAACAUGUGACCAGGGCUGAAUCUGCAAGAUGCAAAAAACCCAGCUCUUCCCUGGACUGCAUGAGGGUGGACUUCGCGUCUCACAACUGCUUCCCACCCUGAGAUGUGUCCUCGCCGUACAAGCCAGGGUGAAUAAAGAGGGGGCACGUGACCCCAGAACUGGGGACACAGUCCAGUGUUCAAAACCAGAGAACGUACCUUAAUUCUGUUGUCACCCCAAGUGAGGUGUCAUCCCCUCCCUCUGGUACUCGGUGUCUCUAAACUUGGGACACUCAGUACUCUGCCUGGCAGGAUUGCCCCCAUGGUGGUGUUACUUAAAGUGGACCCUUGGGCCAUGACCCAGGGGUGCUUGUUAAGAGGGUUCUCAGGCUCCUGCUCCCCUGAUCAGCAGCCCACCAUGGCCCACCAACGAGUCGGACUAUUUAACAAGAUGGUUCUUGUGCACUCAGGUUUGACUCCCCAAAGCAAAAUAACCCAGGGAACAAAAGGAAACUGUUGAGACAAGUAUGUCAACUGAGUUGAAUUAGCCAGGUGGGUCUGAGACCAGGCUCUGAAGGCUUGGGGAAAGGGGGCGGAGAGACGCUUGUUAUAAGUCCGAUGGAUAGACCUACCUUGACGGUGUUUCCCUUCUCCCAGUGAGGCUCAGACGCUCAUGAGGGCUGCCUCGCCACUUGUUAAAGCCCCAAACAAGGGUGAUAUCAUGGGGCAGCACCCAUUUUUAUGCCACACACUGACUGUCCUGUGUCACCAAGCUGGUUUAUAAGCCAGCUAACUCUCAGGCCCGUUUGCCAGGCUCCAUUCUGCACACCAUGAAACUGAGCUUUUCUUUGCUCAAAACAGUUUUUCUAGCCUGAGGAGGAAACCCAGGUAGGCAAGAGGAGUUUGCCAGCCUCUACAUUGGAUGCACAGUGGAAAAAUCAUGUUAGGAACUAGGACCCUCUGACUCUCUGCUGGGUCAUGAAUGGGCAAGACAGAGCAUCCUUCAAUUUUGAGGUUCGAUAGUUUGGGGUUUACUAAAGGCAUGGGCUUAAUUAAUACAUCCCUACACUUUCCCUGAGAAGGGGAUAAACAAAAAUAUUUUCUAGUUUGUUUCUCAGGUAGAGAAUUGAAUUGGCCAACUCAUUCCCAGACCAGCUUGGAGAAGCAGGCUGAGGUGGACACAGGACUGACGGCGCUGGGCAGGCCCCUGCUUGCCUUCUCUGGAGGCCUUCCCAGCAGACGUCAUCACCCAGUGGUAAAUUAAAGGCCAGAGGGGGAAAGAAAAGGAAACAAAGAAUCAAGGAUCCAAUGUUAAGAAACCUGUGCCAGAACCUUCCACUGCAGCGCUGAACAUGGUGAGGGUUUGAGCCUCCUGCCAAGAAAAACAAAGCUGACAGCUCCACUGCAGGCCCAGAGGGAAAGGUAAGCCCUUCACAAGCCGGUUCCUGCAAGGCCUCCAUGAGCCAUGCAGAGUCUGGUUCAGAAAAUAACCAAACAGGCGUGCGAAGCUGCCGCCCACGCCCCCGGGCACUCAUCAGCAGAGAGGAGUCCAGCUGGCACUGUGGUCCCACGCACAGGCUUGAGAACCUCAUUGUUUUGUAUCUCCCGGAGGCAUCAAUGGCUGGGAGGUGGCAGGGACAGAUCUGGGGCUAAAGGACAGUGGCCAAAGGCUUUGGGCCAAAAGGCCACAGCAAGGCCAGCCAGCUGAGAGGAGGAAUGUCACGUCCACAGCAGAUACCUACCGCAGUGGAGACUUCGGGUACAGGAACUCUGGGUCAAAUGACCUGACUGUUUCCCAACCAGGAAGUGAGUCCAGGGCCCUGUCCUUCUCAGAGAGCUGCCGUGAGCCUUUCAGCAGGCCUUCUUUCUACCUGGUAGCUCCCACGAGCCCAGGUCUGGUCCUCAAGUUUGCCACCGCACCCCAAGCACAAUGCCUGGCCUGUCACAAGUACCCCACGUAUACACAGGAGUGUGUGGGCCAGUGGACUCCGGCUCUCUGGUGUAUGUCCAUCUCUGAGCACUGAUGGGUCAGUCCUGGGGUCGCCUCUGCAUAAGUUCAGUCCAUGGGUAUUUGAGUAGCCUAUAUUCUCAUCCCAUCACUGUGUCAAUCACUGGGGAGGUUCGGGGCAGCUGAUGAAGCCUGGUCCCUGCCUCCAAGAAGCUUAGAGUAGGUGGAGAACAGAUUUAUGCACAUGGCACAAGUGUGCUUGUCCAGCCUACAGAUGCCAACGGAGUUCAGAGGCUGGGGCCCUCAGUCCAAAGAGGGUUGGCAUGUGGGAGGGGCAGGGAACAGGGCCAGGUCAUCACUUCUCAAGCUCUUGCUGUGCUCUCCUUCCUGCCUUUCCCCACCACAGUGCCAGCCUUAGGCCCCUGGUGCAGCCGGCAGAGGGGCAGGGUGGAGGCUAUGGGAGGAAGGAAGGUGGGCCAGAGCCUCUACCCUGCACGGGCAGCGGAUGGCAACAUGGAGUCCCCCAUCCAAGCUAUGUGUCUGCAGAGGGCAGAGAAAGCGUCCCAUCAACCUGAGCUGGUGAUAAGCCCUCCGCCCGCCUGCCUGGUUUUGCUGUUGGACAUGCCCAAAAAG